rnacentral:rRNA from 1 species
AGUGAACGCUGGCGGUAGGCCUAACACAUGCAAGUCGAACGGCAGCACAGUAAGAGCUUGCUCUUACGGGUGGCGAGUGGCGGACGAGUGAGGAAUACAUCGGAAUCUACUUUUUCGUGGGGGAUAACGUAGGGAAACUUACGCUAAUACCGCAUACGACCUACGGGUGAAAGCAGGGGAUCUUCGGACCUUGCGCGAUUGAAUGAGCCGAUGUCGGAUUAGCUAGUUGGCGGGGUAAAGGCCCACCAAGGCGACGAUCCGUAGCUGGUCUGAGAGGAUGAUCAGCCACACUGGAACUGAGACACGGUCCAGACUCCUACGGGAGGCAGCAGUGGGGAAUAUUGGACAAUGGGCGCAAGCCUGAUCCAACCAUACCGCGUGGGUGAAGAAGGCCUUCGGGUUGUAAAGCCCUUUUGUUGGGAAAGAAAAGCAGCAGGUUAAUACCCCGCUGUUCUGACGGUACCCAAAGAAUAAGCACCGGCUAACUUCGUG